rnacentral:rRNA from 1 species
UUAAGCAUAUCAAUAAGCGGAGGAAAAGAAACUAACAAGGAUUCCCCUAGUAACUGCGAGUGAAGCGGGAAAAGCUCAAAUUUAAAAUCUGGCGGUCUUUGGCCGUCCGAGUUGUAGUCUGGAGAAGUGCUUUCCGCGCUGGACCGUGUAUAAGUCUCUUGGAACAGAGCGUCAUAGAGGGUGAGAAUCCCGUCUUUGACACGGACUACCAGUGCUUUGUGAUGCGCUCUCAAAGAGUCGAGUUGUUUGGGAAUGCAGCUCAAAAUGGGUGGUGAAUUCCAUCUAAAGCUAAAUAUUGGCGAGAGACCGAUAGCGAACAAGUACCGUGAGGGAAAGAUGAAAAGCACUUUGGAAAGAGAGUUAAACAGUACGUGAAAUUGCUGAAAGGGAAACGCUUGAAGUCAGUCGCGUUGUCCGGAACUCAGCCUUGCUUUCGCUUGGUGCACUUUCCGGAUUGACGGGUCAGCAUCGAUUUUGACCGUCGGAUAAGGGCUGGAGUAAUGUGGCACCUCCGGGUGUGUUAUAGACUCCGGUCGCAUACGGCGGUUGGGAUCGAGGAACGCAGCGCGCCGCAAGGCAGGGGUUCGCCCACAUUCGCGCUUAGGAUGCUGGCAUAAUGGCUUUAAACGACCCGUCUUGAAACACGGACCAAGGAGUCUAACAUACCUGCAAGUGUUUGGGUGGAAAACCCGAGCGCGUAAUGAAAGUGAAAGUUGAGAUCCCUGUCGUGGGGAGCAUCGACGCCCGGACCUGACGUUCUCUGACGGUUCCGCGGUAGAGCAUGUAUGUUGGGACCCGAAAGAUGGUGAACUAUGCCUGAAUAGGGUGAAGCCAGAGGAAACUCUGGUGGAGGCUCGUAGCGAUUCUGACGUGCAAAUCGAUCGUCAAAUUUGGGUAUAGGGGCGAAA